UGACGCGGCUGUAAAUCUCUAGAGGAGAAUCCUGGGGUUCCCAGGAGGAUGUUCUGCCCAGAAGGAGGACGCCCAGACUGCAUGUCACAUUUCAUCCCUGCAGCUUCGGAGCCCAUUAAAGGAACAGGAAAUACCAAGUGGAGGGGAUUGGACUAAGUAACCUC